GACCCGGUAGCGGAUGGUCCGCCCCUACAUUCUAUAACUGACAUAAUUCGAUGUCGCAGGUGUCGCUCGUUCGAAUCGAGCCCGGGUCU